rnacentral:rRNA from 1 species
UACGGGGGGGGUAAGCGUUGUUCGGAAUUACUGGGCGUAAAGGGCUCGUAGGCGGCCAACUAAGUCAUACGUGAAAUCCCUCAGCUUAACUGGGGAACUGCGUGUGAUACUGGAUGGCUUGGAUUUGGGAGAGGGAUGCGGAAUUCCAGGUGUAGCGGUGAAAUGCGUAGAUAUCGGGAGGAACACCAGUGGCGAAGGCGGCUUUCUGGCCUGUUUCUUGACGCUGAGGCGCGAAAGCUAGGGGAGCGAACGGG